rnacentral:tRNA from 1 species
GGAGAUGUAGCUCAGUGGUAGAGUACUUGCCUAGCAUGCAUGAGGUCCUGAGUUCAAUCCCUAGCAUUACCA